rnacentral:sRNA from 1 species
AGGGUAGGUGGGUUUUGAUUGAAGAUCUGGAUCGUGCGCCCUCUGAAGUUAUUGGCCUUAUCCUCCCGCUUAUUGAGAAAAGGGAACUUAUAAUACCAAGCAGAAAAGAACGCAUCCGUUGCGCUGAUAGCUUCAGGGUUAUUGCCACCAUGCGGUCUACUAUCAAUGCGGCUGGGAAAGAAAUAACCCCAGGAACUAAUAUGUUGGGAAGUAGACUCUGGAAUCACAUUCAAGUGGCCUCGAUGCCCCUGUCAGAAGUCAAAGAGGUUAUUAUUCAGAGGUUUCCGCUACUUUCCCCCCGAGUAGAUACAAUCGUGACUACGUUCGAUCGCAUCACAUCGCUAUUUAACGGCACACUGUCUCGCA